GGCGAUUUAACUUAGUGGCAAAGUGUCUGCCUCGCAAGCACAAGGUCCCGAGUUCAAUCCCUGGUACCA
rnacentral:tRNA from 1 species